rnacentral:rRNA from 1 species
AAUGAACGCUGGCGGUAGGCCUAAUACAUGCAAGUCGAACGGCCGCACAGUAAGAUUGUGCCUUUGCCGGUGGCGAGUGGCGGACGGGUGACGAAUGGAUCAGAUACUUCUUUGACGUGGGUGAUAACGGAGGAACUCUUCCGCUAAUAACGCAUACGUCGUACGGGUGAGAGCAGGGGUGAUUUGCAUUUUGCGCGUGUGUAUGAGCAGGUGUCGGAUUAGCUUGUUGGCGGGGUAAAGGACCACCAAGGCGACGAUCCGUAGCCGGUCUGAGAGGAUGAUCGGCCACACUGGAACUGAGACACGGUCCAGACUCCUACGGGAGGCAGCAGUGGGGAAUAUUGGACAAUGGGCGCAAGCCUGAUCGAGCCAUGCCGCGUGGGUGAAGAAGGCCUUCGGGUUGUAAAGCCCUUUUGUUGGGAAAGAAAAGCAGCAGGUUAAUACCCCGCUGUUCUGACGGUACCCAAUGAGUAAGCACCGGCUAACUUCGUG